rnacentral:rRNA from 1 species
GACGAACGCUGGCGGCGUGCUUAACACAUGCAAGUCGAACGAAGUGGCGAACGGGUGAGUAAUACGUGAGUAACCUGCCCUCCUUUUUGGGAUAAGCCUUGGAAACGGGGUCUAAUACCGAAUAAAGGGGGAUGGGCUCGCGGCCUAUCAGCGUGUUGGGGGGGUGUUGGGCUACCAAGGCGGUGACGGGUAGCCGGGCUGGGAGGGUGACCGGCCAGAUUGGGAAUGAGAUACGGCCCAGACUCCUAAGGGAGGCAGCAGUGGGAGAUAUUGCAGAAUGGGCGAAAGCCUGAUGCAGCGACGCCGCGUGAGUGAAGAAGGUGUUCGGAUCGUAAAGCUCUGUUGUUAAGGAAGGAGGACUUAACCAGAAAGGGACGGCUAACUACGUGCCAGCCGCCGCGGUAAUAC